rnacentral:tRNA from 1 species
GGGCUUCUAGUUUAAUUGGUUGAAACGUACCGCUCAUAACGGGAAUAUUGUAGGUUCGAGCCCUACUCAGCCCA